rnacentral:rRNA from 1 species
UUGCCAUAUUUCCAAAAACGGAGGAAAAGAAACCAACAGGGAUUGCCUUAGUAACGGCGAGUGAAGCGGCAAAAGCUCAAAUUUGAAAUCUGGCACCUUCGGUGUCCGAGUUGUAAUUUGAAGAAGGUAACUUUGGAGUUGGCUCUUGUCUAUGUUCCUUGGAACAGGACGUCACAGAGGGUGAGAAUCCCGUGCGAUGAGAUGCCCAAUUCUAUGUAAAGUGCUUUCGAAGAGUCGAGUUGUUUGGGAAUGCAGCUCUAAGUGGGUGGUAAAUUCCAUCUAAAGCUAAAUAUUGGCGAGAGACCGAUAGCGAACAAGUACAGUGAUGGAAAGAUGAAAAGAACUUUGAAAAGAGAGUGAAAAAGUACGUGAAAUUGUUGAAAGGGAAGGGCUUGAGAUCAGACUUGGUAUUUUGCGAUCCUUUCCUUCUUGGUUGGGUUCCUCGCAGCUUACUGGGCCAGCAUCGGUUUGGAUGGUAGGAUAAUGACUAAGGAAUGUGGCUCUACUUCGGUGGAGUGUUAUAGCCUUGGUUGAUACUGCCUGUCUAGACCGAGGACUGCGUCUUGACUAUGAUGCUGCA